rnacentral:ncRNA from 1 species
GGCAGCGUUCGUCCGGCAACAAACAGCCAACUCAGAACUGCACGGACUAGGGAAUCCGACUGUCUAAUUAAAAGCAACAGCAUUGCGAUGAGCUUGUUGCUCGGUGUUGACAGCAAUGUGAUUUCUGCCCAGUGCUCUGAAUUGUCCAAAGUGAAGAAAUUCAAUCAAGCGGCGGGUAAACGCGGGAGUAACUAUGACUCCUUAAGGUAGGCCAAAUGCCUCGUCAUCUAAUUUAGUGACGCGGCAUGAAAAAUGGAAUUAACGAAGAUUUCCCACUGUCCUAUCUACUAUCUAGCGAAAAACCACAGGCCAAGGGAACGGGCUUUGCAAGAAUCAGCGGGGAAAGAAGACGCCUGUGAGCUUGACUCUAGUCCGACUUUGUGAAGAGACAUGAGAGGUGUAGUAUAGGUGGGAGCGUCAGCGACCUUUGAAAUACCACUACUUUUAUCGUUUCUUUACUUAUUCAGUGAAGCGGGAAGCGGCCCUUCACGGCCUCGUUUUCUGGUGUUUUAAACGGCUGGCCCUCGGCGCGCCGUGACCUGGCUCUGAAGACAGUGUCAGGCGGGGAGUUUGACUGGGCGGGUACAUGUCAAAAGGUAACGCAGGUGUCCCAAGAUGAGCUCAGUCAGGACAGAAACCUGGCGUAGAGCAAAAGGGCAAAAGCUCAUUUGAUUUGAUUUUCAGUACGAAUACAGACCGUGAAAGCGCGGCCUAUCGAUCCCUUUGAUUAAUCAGAGUUUGAUGCAAGGGGUGUCAGAAAAGUUACCCACAGGGAUAUACUGGCUUGUGGCGGCAAGCGUUCAUAGCGACGUCGCUUUUUGAUCCUUCGAUGUCGGCUCUUCCUAUCAUUGUGAAGCAAGAAUUCACCAAAGCGUUGGAUUGUGUUCACCCACCAAAUAGGGAACGUGAGCCUGGGUUUAGACCGUCGUGAGACAGGUUAGGUUUACCCUACUGAUGUCUUGUCGUUGCUAUGGUAAUCCUGCUUAGUACGAGAGGAAACGCAGGUUCAGACAUUUUGGUUUAUGUGCUUGGUCGAAAAGACCAAUGGUGCGAAGCUACCAUCUGGGGAUUAAUUAAGACUGAAAGCCUCUUAAGUCUGAAUCCCGCCCAGAAAUGCAACGAUACUAUCGGCGUGCCCCUACGCCGGGAGGCAAACGAUAUACUCGGCCCGAAAUCGAUUUUCGGCGGCCGAGACUGGCCUAAAGCCACUGGCGAUACUGGCAACCACCCGCUGUCUUGAAAUUUUUGGCCAGUGGAGGCCACAGACACGAUACCACUUGAUGAGACGUAGGGGUUCUAUAUCGUUUGUAGACGACUUAGAUCUCGGUCGGUGGUGUGCCGUACUUAGUUGAGCAGUUCUUCACUGCGAUCUAUUGAGGCUAAGCCUUUUGACGGGGAGAUAUGU